GCGACGAUUUUGAAUCAGAGGUUUUAGCUGGUGUUUAGAUCCUGGGUUCCUUCCCUUCCACCUCAGAGUUCAUGAGAGGAAGGGGCUCAGGGUCUAGACCUCAGAUAUAAGCUCUAGUGAAGUUGCCGU